UCCUGCAAGAUGAGCGUCGGCUGGACGGGCCGCACUCGGAACUGCCGGGCGCUCCAGCCAGGGCUGGGCUGCCGCACUACCUCGCUGUCCGAGAGCCAAGUGACCGUCUCGUAGUUGUCACCCCGGCGAAGGGCUCUGGCCUCGGCACUGUGUACGGCCACGUCCUCGAACUGGUGCAGCCCACCGGCGUGGUCGAAGUGCACAUGGGUGGCAACCGCUAGCAACGGCCGCCGCCGCCCGCAGCCUACCGGCACUUUCUCUUCUUCGCCACGACGCUCCCUCGCGUCGUCGCCCGGGACUGACUCGGUGUCCAAAAGCCCAGCCAAGUGAAGGUACUCGGGGAGGCUGCGCAACCCCAGCCCGGUGUCGAUCACCACGUCCCGUUGCGAGCCGCGUACCAGCCAGAUGUUGGCCCGGUUGCCCGACUCAUAGAAGCGCUCCUGAAUCCAGUAGAUGCCUCCGCCCAGGGACUUGUGCGCGAACCACUCCAGCGCCGACAUCGCCUCCGGCCGCAGACCCGAAACGCGCGCGGCUGGACUACCUGUCUGCAGCCCCCGGACGGCGGGACAGCAGCUGUUGCGCGGGCACCCGAGUGGCUAUCCUAGCAUAGGCUUCAGCAGGAGGAGCUAUGAAGAGAAAGAGGCGGGGCCUGAGCUGCUGUUGCUGGACGUGUUCGAGCGAACGACCGAGAGGUCUCCGCCCCGUCCCUGCCCACUGCGGUAGCGCGUCACAGGGACUGAAAAGUGCUGGCUGGGGAUGGCGAGCUUGACUAGGCUAGGCCAGGCCAGGCAUGCGGCUGCAUGGGAGGAGUUCUGGCCGGGGCUUGAGCUGAUAGGGGUAUUUAGUGAGAGUGGGGAAAAAAGGCUGGUUUACUCGAGACAGCUGCUGUUAGGGCGAUUUCUUUGGGCUGCAGUUCUGUGCACGCAUCGAGAUGCUCCAACUGUCCUUAUUUUUAUUUUUGCGUUGUUCCUGUUGUCCUGUCUCUUCUCAAGCAGCAGAAAGGCCAGCUGCACCCCUGAAAUAACGUGACACUCCCCAGAAGGGCUGGUGAGGGGCAAAAUUCUCCCCCAUUUCCUAACAAAGGCCCUCUUGCCCCUAGGAUCUCUUGCAGGAAUUCCAUAUGGCCAGGUCAGGCUGAGGCAGAGGGAGUGCUACCUUGACCUUUGACACUGAAGCUAUUGGCUUUGUUGAAGGUGAAGCACUACUUGAAGCACUAUUUGGGCCUUCUCCACCGUAUCCUGUUGAUCGGAUCCCUCUAAAAAAGGCACCUCCCUCCGCAUCAGCCAUAAUCAUGGCAACAGAUCACAAACCAAUACCACUGAAAGCAGGAGAGGAUGAAGAUUACCUUUUGGCUUUAAAACAAGAUCUUAGAGGAGCAAUGAAAAAAACCCUUAUUUUAUGGCGGAAAAGAAUGAAGAUGAAGGUUUUGUACCUAUUGAAAGAUACAGCAAAAAAUACUUGCAGAUAAAUAAAAAGGACGUAGAAUGGACCCCAGAUUGGAGAAUACUCCCAGGAGAGCUGGAACCAAAGAAGAAGACUGAAAAAGUUCUCUUAUCAGUUGUAGAGCAACGACAAAAACCUCAUCUGGAAGUUUAGAUGAUGUGCCAGUUCGUCAGGAGUUAGAAGACAAUGAAGUAAAGUCAGAUGAGGAGGGAAAGGACAAAGAUGAGGAAGAAGAGCCAGAGGAAUAUGAUGAAGUGCACCAAACAGAAUUUUGUGGAGACCAAGGUGGUGGCAACAGUGAUAAUUUCUCCUGACAUAGCACAUGGUUGGAGCAAGUACAAUAAACCUGGCAUGCUUCAUGACCCAGAUGGGGAACCUGUGGCCCUUUGGAUGCCUAAUAACUGUUUUCCCACUCUGAUCGUCAUGGCUUCAAUUAAAAUAAGUGCUCAGAACAUCACAAAAAAAGAUCCUGGAGUUUAUUUUAUAAUCAACUGAAUCCCCAUUAUGAAGAUGAGUGGGGCACGUGAAGAGUUGUAGUUUGCAAGGACCCCUAGCCACACACAAUUUGCAAUGACCCCCAACCAUUAAAAACAGCCUGCUCCUGUAUAGCACCAUCCUGGGUUCUGUCAUUGGUAACUGAAUGUUAUAGAAUGUUGGACAUUGGCUUUAUAUGCAAGAUAAGCUACUUUCUCAGUUGAAAGUAACUUUGGUAAAUAUUAACAAAAGCUUUCUGAGUUUAUAGUUACAGUGACAUAUUUUGACAACCUCUAGAGGGGCUUCAAAGAACCACAAUUAGUUCUAUACACUCAACCAUCCACCUUCCAGUGAUGCCCUCUCCCUCUUCCAACUGUCAUUCUACAGGUAUCUGAAGGACAAUCUUGCUUUGACAGGAGUGAAGAAAAAGCAGUUACAACUUUUUCUAAAUAAACAGUUGUCUUUUUCAAUUAACUUUUAUCAACCCUUAUUGUCGUAAUAAUCUUAUGUAAAUUGUUUGAAGUCUGCCUUGAAAAGCAGUUUUUAUAAAUCCCUUAAAUAAACGAACUUGGACUGGGACAGCUGCUACAUAAGAAACAUGUUACAGAGUAAUCCACUCUUGAGACUUAGAAUAAUUUUAAAAGCCAUUUGAUGUCUUUUGGUCCCUGUUGUUCAUGGUGGAACAUGAUAUAUAUUAUUUGUACUUUUCUGAAAUUAAUUCAAAAAAGACGCUAUAAGCAUCUUAUAAAUUCUACAGUUUUUAUAAAAGACUUAAUUUUGCAAAAGAA